rnacentral:rRNA from 1 species
AUUGAACGCUGGCGGCAUGCCUUACACAUGCAAGUCGAACGGUAACGGGCCUUCGGGUGCCGACGAGUGGCGAACGGGUGAGUAAUGUAUCGGAACGUACCUUUCAGUGGGGGGAUAACGUAGCGAAAGUUACGCUAAUACCGCAUAUUCUGUGAGCAGGAAAGCAGGGGAUCGCAAGACCUUGCGCUGAUUGAGCGGCCGAUAUCAGAUUAGCUAGUUGGUGAGGUAAAGGCUCACCAAGGCGACGAUCUGUAGCGGGUCUGAGAGGAUGAUCCGCCACACUGGAACUGAGACACGGUCCAGACUCCUACGGGAGGCAGCAGUGGGGAAUUUUGGACAAUGGGGGGCAACCCUGAUCCAGCCAUGCCGCGUGAGUGAAGAAGGCCUGGUGUAAGACUCUUCGUCC